GACGAACGCUGGCGGCGUGCUUAACACAUGCAAGUCGAACGGAAAGGCCCUGCUUUUGUGGGGUGCUCGAGUGGCGAACGGGUGAGUAACACGUGAGUAACCUGCCUUUGACUUUGGGAUAACUUCAGGAAACUGGGGCUAAUACCGGAUAGGAGCUCCUGCUGCAUGGUGGGGGUUGGAAAGUUUCGGCGGUUGGGGAUGGACUCGCGGCUUAUCAGCUUGUUGGUGGGGUAGUGGCUUACCAAGGCUUUGACGGGUAGCCGGCCUGAGAGGGUGACCGGCCACAUUGGGACUGAGAUACGGCCCAGACUCCUACGGAGGCAGCAGUGGGGAAUAUUGCACAAUGGGCGGAAGCCUGAUGCAGCAACGCCGCGUGCGGGAUGACGGCCUUCGGGUUGUAAACCGCUUUCGCCUGUGACGAAGCGUGAGUGACGGUAAUGGGUAAAGAAGCACCGGCUAACUACGUG
rnacentral:rRNA from 1 species